rnacentral:lncRNA from 1 species
CCCAAAAAAAUACCACAGCAAGAAUUAGGACCCAUUUUUGGAUCACGUAGGAAUAGAAGCACGCGCCUCCCGAAUCCUCAAUUUUCCUUCCCCAAAAAAAUCCCCUUUUUUCUCUACGUAGGUGGGUAUUUAUAGUGAAUUUUGGGAUUGUUUUGGGGGGAAAUCAAAGGGGGUAAAAGAGGAAAAACGAGUUGAUAGAUGAGACUGGAGUUGGAAUUGUACGAAUUGGCUGAGCUGUUUUUUGUCGUUGUUGUACUGUUGAGCGUUGGAAUUGCAAGUAGUUGUCGGCUUUUUGUUGAAAGACGUUGUUUGUUGAUGUUAUUGAACGCUG